GUGGACCGCGAUCGCUCCGAACGUUGAAUUCACCACUUGGAACUUACUUGGAGUUCACCUUUUGCAAAGUGGGAUCCUCAAGAAGGCGUGUGAUCUUGGCACUGGCUAAUACUCUGAUGGGUGAGAUUAUUCAGCGAAUAUUGACUAGCUCCAUGGCAGGUGGACCAUGGUGGCUCCAAAUGGUUGAAUUCGCCAAUUGAACUUACUUGGAGUUUACCUCAAGAAGGUGUGUGAUAUUCGGAAUCGGCUACAUCUGCGAAUAGUGGACCGAGCCUCCAAAUGGUUGAAUUUACCAGUUGAACGUACUUGGAAUUCACGUUUUGCAAAGUGGCAUCCUCAAGAAGGCAUGUGAUAUGCGGCAUCGGCUACAACUGCGAUGAGUGGACCGCGGUGUCUCCAAACGGUUGAGUUCACCACUUGAACUUACUUGGAGUUCACCUUUUGAAAACUGGUAUAUCCUCAAAAAGGCGUGUGAUUUUGGCACUGGCUACUACUCUGAUGGGAAACUAAAAAAACAGAGCCCAGUUACAAACUUAUGAGCAUGGAUUUCGAGUCGCUCGACUAGUCGCGACUAGUCGACGACUAGUCUAUGAGUCGCAAAAAUAUGUUCGACUCGGGUUAGUGUCGACUCGCGACUCUGAGUCGCGACUAGUCACAACGCAGGCUCGACUUCUUCCGAGUUGCUGCCCCAGAGCGACUCUCAUGAGCCGCGACUCGAAAACCAUGCUUAUGAGAGGAGUUUUGGGAGCCGGCAAGCCCUGUACGGUCAUGCCAAUCGUGGGGAUGCACCGUGUCAUGACGGAGACGUAAGGCAGCAGCAGGAUAAGCACGUAGGUGCAUGACAGAGCCACAGAGCCACUUUGUGGUGUGCACUGUUGAUUCUUCUUCCUCUCCGACUCCUCCUGACUUGCCCAUCCGGUGGCCCUCAUUCUUCUUCCAGGACCGCAUAGCUGGUUAUGUAAGCAACAUAUUUUUGUAUAGCCGAUCCUUCGAGGUUAUGUAACCUCUAAAACCUCGACUUCCGCAACAGCGGCUGCCUCUUCCUCAGUAAGG